rnacentral:rRNA from 1 species
GGAGGAAAAGAAACCAACAGGGAUUGCCUUAGUAACGGCGAGUGAAGCGGCAAAAGCUCAAAUUUGAAAUCUGGCACCUUCGGUGUCCGAGUUGUAAUUUGAAGAAGGUAACUUUGGAGUUGGCUCUUGUCUAUGUUCCUUGGAACAGGACGUCACAGAGGGUGAGAAUCCCGUGCGAUGAGAUGCCCAAUUCUAUGUAAAGUGCUUUCGAAGAGUCGAGUUGUUUGGGAAUGCAGCUCUAAGUGGGUGGUAAAUUCCAUCUAAAGCUAAAUAUUGGCGAGAGACCGAUAGCGAACAAGUACAGUGAUGGAAAGAUGAAAAGAACUUUGAAAAGAGAGUGAAAAAGUACGUGAAAUUGUUGAAAGGGAAGGGCUUGAGAUCAGACUUGGUAUUUUGCGAUCCUUUCCUUCUUGGUUGGGUUCCUCGCAGCUUACUGGGCCAGCAUCGGUUUGGAUGGUAGGAUAAUGACUAAGGAAUGUGGCUCUACUUCGGUGGAGUGUUAUAGCCUUGGUUGAUACUGCCUGUCUAGACCGAGGACUGCGUCUUUGACUAGGAUGCUGGCAUAAUGAUCUUAAGCCACCCGUCUUGAAACACG